UCAAAUUUGAAAUCUGGCCCUCGGGUCCGAGUUGUAAUUUGCAGAGGAUGCUUCGGGCGAGGUGCCUUCCGAGUUCCCUGGAACGGGACGCCACAGAGGGUGAGAGCCCCGUCUGGUUGGACACCGAGCCCGUGUGAAGCUCCUUCGAAGAGUCGAGUAGUUUGGGAAUGCUGCUCAAAAUGGGAGGUAUAUGUCUUCUAAAGCUAAAUAUUGGCCAGAGACCGAUAGCGCACAAGUAGAGUGAUCGAAAGAUGAAAAGCACUUUGAAAAGAGGGUUAAAAAGUACGUGAAAUUGUUGAAAGGGAAGCGCCCAUGACCAGACUUGGGCCCGGUGAAUCACCCGGCGUUCUCGCCGGUGCACUUUGCCGGGCACAGGCCAGCAUCAGUUUGGCGCGGGGGACAAAGGCUUCGGGAAUGUGGCUCCCUCGGGAGUGUUAUAGCCCGCUGCGCAAUACCCUGCGCCGGACUGAGGUACGCGCAUCGCAAGGAUGCUGGCGUAAUGGUCAUCAGCGACCCGUCUUGAAACACGGACCAAGGAGUCGUCUUCGUAUGCGAGUGUUCGGGUGUCAAACCCCUACGCGGAAUGAAAGUGAACGCAGGUGAGAGCUUCGGCGCAUCAUCGACCGAUCCUGAUGUUCUCGGAUGGAUUUGAGUAAGAGCAUACGGGGCCGGACCCGAAAGAAGGUGAACUAUGCCUGUAUAGGGUGAAGCCAGAGGAAACUCUGGUGGAAGCUCGCAGCGGUUCUGACGUGCGAAUCGAUCGUCAAA
rnacentral:rRNA from 1 species